rnacentral:rRNA from 1 species
CAAUAGCGUAUAUUUAAGUUGUUGCAGUUAAAAAGCUCGUAGUUGGACUUCUGCGGGUGGCGGCCGGUCGUGCUCGAAACGGGCGUGAACUUGGCGUGCUGCCCGCAUCUUUGGGGAGAUUGUGCGUGGCAUUAAGUUGUCGUGCAUGGGAUUCUCAUCAUUUACUGUGAAAAAAUUAGAGUGUUUAAAGCAGGCCUUUGCCUUGAAUACAUUAGCAUGGAAUAAUAAGAUAGGACCGUUGUCUAUUUUGUUGGUUUACAGAUGUCGGUAAUGAUUAAUAGGGAUAGUUGGGGGUAUUCGUAUUCAGUUGUCAGAGGUGAAAUUCUUGGAUUUUCGGAAGACGCACGACUGCGAAAGCAUUUACCAAGGAUGUUUUCAUUA